rnacentral:misc_RNA from 1 species
GCAAACUUGGUCAUUUAGAGGAAGUAAAAGUCGUAACAAGGUUUCCGUAGGUGAACCUGCGGAAGGAUCAUUACAGAGUACCGGCGCCUCCGGGCGCCUACUCCCACCCUUUGUGUACCGAAACCGUUGCUUUGGCGGGCCGGGCGCCCAGCGCCGCCGGCCCCGGUUGGACAGCGCCCGCCAGAGAACUUUCAAAUCCUGCUCACUGUGAAGUCCGAGUAACAGAAAAAUGAAUCAAAACUUUCAACAACGGAUCUCUUGGUUCUGGCAUCGAUGAAGAACGCAGC